AGUGAACGCUGGCGGUAGGCCUAACACGUGCAAGUCGAACGGCAGCACAGUAAGAGCUUGCUCUUACGGGUGGCGAGUGGCGGACGGGUGAGGAAUACAUCGGAAUCUGCUUUUUCGUGGGGGAUAACGUAGGGAAACUUACGCUAAUACCGCAUACGACCUACGGGUGAAAGCAGGGGAUCUUCGGACCUUGCGCGAUUGAAUGAGCCGAUGUCGGAUUAGCUAGUUGGCGGGGUAAAGGCCCACCAAGGCGACGAUCCGUAGCUGGUCUGAGAGGAUGAUCAGCCACACUGGAACUGAGACACGGUCCAGACUCCUACGGGAGGCAGCAGUGGGGAAUAUCGGACAAUGGGCGCAAGCCUGAUCCAGCCAUACCGCGUGGGUGAAGAAGGCCUUCGGGUUGUAAAGCCCUUUUGUUGGGAAAGAAAAGCAGCAGGUUAAUACCCCGCUGUUCUGACGGUACCCAAAGAAUAAGCACCGGCUAACUUCGUG
rnacentral:rRNA from 1 species